GGCCUGGAUAGCUCAGUGGUUAGAGCACCUGACUAGUAAUGCAGGGGUCCCGGGUUCGAUUCCCGGUCCAGCCA